rnacentral:tRNA from 1 species
GCCGAAGUAGCUCAGUGGUAGAGCACGCGCCUGAAGAGCGUGGUGUCGUCAGUUCGAUUCUGACCUUCGGCA